CGGAGUGUGGCGCAGCCUGGUAGCGCAUCUGGUUUGGGACCAGAGGGUCGGAGGUUCGAAUCCUCUCACUCCGACCA
rnacentral:tRNA from 1 species